rnacentral:rRNA from 1 species
UACAGAGGUCCCGAGCGUUGUUCGGAUUCAUUGGGCGUAAAGGGUGCGUAGGUGGCGCUGUAAGUGGGGUGUGAAAUCCCGGGGCUUAACCCCGGGACUGCAUUCCAUACUGCGGUGCUUGAGGACUGGAGAAGAGACUGGAAUUUACGGUGUAGCAGUGAAAUGCGUAGAUAUCGUAAGGAAGACCAGUGGCGAAGGCGAGUCUCUGGACAGUUACCGACGCUGAGGCACGAAGGUCAGGGGAGCAAACGGG